rnacentral:rRNA from 1 species
UACAGAGGUCUCAAGCGUUGUUCGGAUUCAUUGGGCGUAAAGGGUGCGUAGGCGGCGCGGUAAGUCGGGUGUGAAAUCUCGGGGCUUAACUCCGAAACUGCAUUCGAUACUGCCGUGCUUGAGGACUGGAGAGGAGACUGGAAUUUACGGUGUAGCGGUGAAAUGCGCAGAUAUCAGGAAGAACACCAAUGGCGAAGGCAGCUCUCUGGGACGGUACUGACGCUGAGACGCGAAAGCGUGGGGAGCGAACAGG